GAUGUCGUGGCCGAGUGGUUAAGGCAAUGGAAUAUAAAUUUUUUGGGAUCUUCCCGCGCAGGUUCGAAUCCUGCCGACAUCG
rnacentral:tRNA from 1 species